CACAUAGCUCAGUGGUAGAGCACACAUUUUGUAUUCUAAAGGUCUCAGGUUCAAGCCCUGGUAUCUCGA